GUUUGAUCCUGGCUCAGGAUGAACGCUGGCGGCGUGCCUAAUACAUGCAAGUCGAACGCUUCACUUCGGUGAAGAGUGGCGAACGGGUGAGUAAUACAUAAGUAACCUGGCAUCUACAGGGGGAUAACUGAUGGAAACGUCAGCUAAGACCGCAUAGGUGUAGAGAUCGCAUGAACUCUAUAUGAAAAGUGCUACGGGACUGGUAGAUGAUGGACUUAUGGCGCAUUAGCUGGUUGGUAGGGUAACGGCCUACCAAGGCGACGAUGCGUAGCCGACCUGAGAGGGUGACCGGCCACACUGGGACUGAGACACGGCCCAGACUCCUACGGGAGGCAGCAGUAGGGAAUUUUCGGCAAUGGGGGAAACCCUGACCGAGCAACGCCGCGUGAAGGAAGAAGUAAUUCGUUAUGUAAACUUCUGUCAUAGAGGAAGAACGGUGGAUAUAGGGAAUGAUAUCCAAGUGACGGUACUCUAUAAGAAAGCCACGGCUAACUACGUGCCAGCAGCCGCGGUAAUACGUAGGUGGCGAGCGUUAUCCGGAAUUAUUGGGCGUAAAGAGGGAGCAGGCGGCACUAAGGGUCUGUGGUGAAAGAUCGAAGCUUAACUUCGGUAAGCCAUGGAAACCGUAGAGCUAGAGUGUGUGAGAGGAUCGUGGAAUUCCAUGUGUAGCGGUGAAAUGCGUAGAUAUAUGGAGGAACACCAGUGGCGAAGGCGACGAUCUGGCGCAUAACUGACGCUCAGUCCCGAAAGCGUGGGGAGCAAAUAGGAUUAGAUACCCUAGUAGUCCACGCCGUAAACGAUGAGUACUAAGUGUUGGGUGUCAAAGCUCAGUGCUGCAGUUAACGCAAUAAGUACUCCGCCUGAGU
rnacentral:rRNA from 1 species